AAAUUGAAGAGUUUGAUCAUGGCUCAGAUUGAACGCUGGCGGCAGGCCUAACACAUGCAAGUCGAACGGUAACAGGAAGCAGCUUGCUGCUUUGCUGACGAGUGGCGGACGGGUGAGUAAUGUCUGGGAAGCUGCCUGAUGGAGGGGGAUAACUACUGGAAACGGUGGCUAAUACCGCAUAACGUCGCAAGACCAAAGAGGGGGACCUUCGGGCCUCUUGCCAUCAGAUGUGCCCAGAUGGGAUUAGCUAGUUGGUGAGGUAACGGCUCACCAAGGCGACGAUCCCUAGCUGGUCUGAGAGGAUGACCAGCCACACUGGAACUGAGACACGGUCCAGACUCCUACGGGAGGCAGCAGUGGGGAAUAUUGCACAAUGGGCGCAAGCCUGAUGCAGCCAUGCCGCGUGUAUGAAGAAGGCCUUCGGGUUGUAAAGUACUUUCAGCGGGGAGGAAGGUGUUGCGGUUAAUAACCGCAGCAAUUGACGUUACCCGCAGAAGAAGCACCGGCUAACUCCGUGCCAGCAGCCGCGGUAAUACGGAGGGUGCAAGCGUUAAUCGGAAUUACUGGGCGUAAAGCGCACGCAGGCGGUCUGUCAAGUCGGAUGUGAAAUCCCCGGGCUCAACCUGGGAACUGCAUUCGAAACUGGCAGGCUUGAGUCUUGUAGAGGGGGGUAGAAUUCCAGGUGUAGCGGUGAAAUGCGUAGAGAUCUGGAGGAAUACCGGUGGCGAAGGCGGCCCCCUGGACAAAGACUGACGCUCAGGUGCGAAAGCGUGGGGAGCAAACAGGAUUAGAUACCCUGGUAGUCCACGCCGUAAACGAUGUCUACUUGGAGGUUGUGCCCUUGAGGCGUGGCUUCCGGAGCUAACGCGUUAAGUAGACCGCCUGGGGAGUACGGCCGCAAGGUUAAAACUCAAAUGAAUUGACGGGGGCCCGCACAAGCGGUGGAGCAUGUGGUUUAAUUCGAUGCAACGCGAAGAACCUUACCUGGUCUUGACAUCCACAGAACUUUCCAGAGAUGGAUUGGUGCCUUCGGGAACUGUGAGACAGGUGCUGCAUGGCUGUCGUCAGCUCGUGUUGUGAAAUGUUGGGUUAAGUCCCGCAACGAGCGCAACCCUUAUCCUUUGUUGCCAGCGAUUAGGUCGGGAACUCAAAGGAGACUGCCAGUGAUAAACUGGAGGAAGGUGGGGAUGACGUCAAGUCAUCAUGGCCCUUACGACCAGGGCUACACACGUGCUACAAUGGCGCAUACAAAGAGAAGCGACCUCGCGAGAGCAAGCGGACCUCAUAAAGUGCGUCGUAGUCCGGAUUGGAGUCUGCAACUCGACUCCAUGAAGUCGGAAUCGCUAGUAAUCGUGGAUCAGAAUGCCACGGUGAAUACGUUCCCGGGCCUUGUACACACCGCCCGUCACACCAUGGGAGUGGGUUGCAAAAGAAGUAGGUAGCUUAACCUUCGGGAGGGCGCUUACCACUUUGUGAUUCAUGACUGGGGUGAAGUCGUAACAAGGUAACCGUAGGGGAACCUGCGGUUGGA
rnacentral:rRNA from 1 species